rnacentral:rRNA from 1 species
AGACAGGUGGUGCAUGGUUGUCGUCAGCUCGUGUCGUGAGAUGUUGGGUUAAGUCCCGCAACGAGCGCAACCCUUACCCUUAGUAGCCAGCACAAAAAAGGUGGGCACUCUAGGGGGACUGCCAGGGAGAACCUGGAGGAAGGUGGGGAUGACGUCAAAUCAUCAUGCCCCUUAUGGGCAGGGCUACACACGUGCUACAAUGGCGUAAACAAAGGGAGGCGAGGCCGCGAGGCGGAGCAAACCCCAAAAAUAACGUCCCAGUUCGGAUUGUAGCCUGCAACCCGGCUACAUGAAGCUGGAAUCGCUAGUAAUCGCGGAUCAGAAUGCCGCGGUGAAUACGUUCCCGGGUCUUGUACACACCGCCCGUCACACCAUGGGAGUUGGCAACGCCCGAAGUCAGUGACCCAACCGGAAGGGGGGAGCUGCCGAAGGCGGGGCCGGUAACUGGGGUGAAGUCGUAACAAGGUAGCCGUAUCGGAAGGUGCGGCUGGAUCACCUC